GAUGAACGCUGGCGGCGUGCUUAACACAUGCAAGUCGAACGGAAAGGCUCCUGCUUGCAGGGGUACUCGAGUGGCGAACGGGUGAGUAACACGUGGGUGAUCUGCCCUGCACUUCGGGAUAAGCCUGGGAAACUGGGUCUAAUACCGGAUAGGACCACAUUUUGGAUGGUGUGGUGGAAAGUUUUUCGGUGUGGGAUGAGCUCGCGGCCUAUCAGCUUGUUGGUGGGGUAAUGGCCUACCAAGGCGCCGACGGGUAGCCGGCCUGGGAGGGUGUACGGCCACAAUGGGACUGAGGUACGGCCCAGACUCCUACGGGAGGCAGCGGUGGGGAAUAUUGCACAAUGGGCGCAAGCCUGAUGCAGCGACGCCGCGUGGGGGAUGACGGCCUUCGGGUUGUAAACUCCUUUCGCUGGGGACGAAGCGUAAGUGACGGUACCUGGAGAAGAAGCACCGGCUAACUACGUG
rnacentral:rRNA from 1 species